rnacentral:rRNA from 1 species
CCUACGGGAGGCAGCAGUGAGGAAUAUUGGUCAAUGGACGAGAGUCUGAACCAGCCAAGUAGCGUGAAGGAUGACUGCCCUAUGGGUUGUAAACUUCUUUUAUAUGGGAAUAAAAUGUUCCACGUGUGGGAUUUUGUAUGUACCAUAUGAAUAAGGAUCGGCUAACUCCGUGCCAGCAGCCGCGGUAAUACGGAGGAUCCGAGCGUUAUCCGGAUUUAUUGGGUUUAAAGGGAGCGUAGGUGGAUUGUUAAAUCAGUUGUGAAAGUUUGCGGCUCAACCGUAAAAUUGCAGUUGAAACUGGCAGUCUUGAGUACAGUAGAGGUGGGCGGAAUUCGUGGUGUAGCGGUGAAAUGCUUAGAUAUCACGAAGAACUCCGAUUGCGAAGGCAGUUCACUGGACUGCAACUGACACUGAGGCUCGAAAGUGUGGGUAUCAAACAGGAUUAGAUACCCGAGUAGUC